rnacentral:rRNA from 1 species
CACGUAGGGUGCGAGCGUUGUCCGGAAUUAUUGGGCGUAAAGAGCUCGUAGGCGGUGUGUCGCGUCGGCCGUGAAAACCUGGGGCUUAACUCUGGGCUUGCGGUCGAUACGGGCAUCACUGGAGUUCGGCAGGGGAGACUGGAAUUCCUGGUGUAGCGGUGAAAUGCGCAGAUAUCAGGAGGAACACCGGUGGCGAAGGCGGGUCUCUGGGCCGAUACUGACGCUGAGGAGCGAAAGCAUGGGGAGCGAACAGG